UACGUAGGGGGCGAGCGUUAUCCGGAAUUAUUGGGCGUAAAGGGUGCGUAGGUGGUCUGAUAAGCGUGGGGUGAAAGGCAAUAGCUUAUCUAUUGUAAGCCUUGCGAACUGUCAGACUUGAGUGCAGGAGAGGAAAGUGGAAUUCCUAGUGUAGCGGUGAAAUGCGUAGAUAUUAGGAGGAACACCAGUGGCGAAGGCGACUUUCUGGACUGUAACUGACACUGAGGCACGAAAGCGUGGGGAGCAAACAGG
rnacentral:rRNA from 1 species